AUAAAAAAAUUAUCAAACACUUUUCAGAAUUUUCUGAACCUAUCUGUCCUAACGGUAGGUAGGAAAUGAGAGAGUUUGCCAGGGAAUAGGAGGGUUUUCUAUGAACCUCAAACUCUAGUAACCAUCAAAAUCCUCAACACCGAAAUGUACUCUUCUUCAAGAUCUGCCCAAUCAUUGUGUGUCUGAAUUUGCAAGCUCUUGAAUAUAAAAGGAGUGACUGCUUUUCAAUCUAACAUUUCAUGUUUUGGUAAUGAGGUGAGGGUGGGGCUUAGCUCAUUGUUUCGUGCUUCGAACAUGUCCUCGUAGCUGCAUCAAAAUGGAGUGAACGGCUUUCCUUGGAAUCCAGCUACCACCAAUAUGUGGUGUGGUCAGCAGAACCUGAAGCUUGCCAAGCAUCAACAGAGGAAAUCCCUCAAGCUGUUGAAUGGAUGAACCAGUCAAUUCCAAAUCAUGAAAAAUUGGAAGAUAAAAGCUACUGAGGAGCAUUCCAAAAUGUAGACUUGAUGAAAUCCAAGCACAAAAUUUAGGUUUAUUUGGUACCCUUUUAGUCGAUUAAUUUACUAUUGGGAGUGAUGGUAUGCUUCGUUGAGGAAAUGCUUGCUCAUAAUUUUCAAGCAUCCAAGUUUCUACCCUACCCGCGUAUUAAAGCUUCAAGUCUGGAAAGGAGCAGUGAGAGAAUAGAAAGAGGAGUGCUGAUAUCCCACAUCGAUGAAGCAGAGUAUAAUGUUGAGAGCUGCACCUAUAAAAAGAAAUUGAAUGAACGGUUUAAAGCAUACCUUUCUCGGCCUUUUGGCUAAGAUCAAGUGUAGGAUCUGUUCUUAUCAGUUUAAUAUCUGAUACGUGGGCCAUAGAUCCCCACGAUAUUAAAUUAAUUUUUUAAAGGGAAGGGUCCAUUACAGUAGCUUGCUACUGGGAUCCUUAAGCGUCGCCCAUGCGUUGCACUACUGCAAGGGCCUGGCGCACCCUCCAUUCCCAAAUUGAAAUGUUUAGCUAGUUAACUACUCUUCAGCUUCUUGUUCGUGACAGUAAAGCCUCUGAUGUAAGCUUCAUUGGAUUCCGAUUGUCAAUCGGGGAUUAUUACCUGGAUAAAUUAUUACAAAAACAAUACUGUGUUGUCUAUGCCAGACGUUGUCAUUGAGCAUGCAUUUGUCGAGCGCAUGAGCUCAAAAGGGUGGAUGUCGUGCCUGAGAUUAUGCUCAAAUGUUUCCACCGCAAGUUUGGAAAAUUGGCGGGGUUGGAUUCAUUUACGGAAAGACGGUUUGCCCUACAAAGCUUCGCAGCUGCUUAGCAAGAGUUCCAGUAAUUGUGCUGCUAAGCCUGCUAUGCAUAUUGUCUCCGAGUCUAUACAAGUUCUAGCUUGCCAAGACAUUGGCCUCAAAACUUCUAAACAUUAAUCUUUUUCCUGUACCGCUUAACAGAGUUGCCAAGCUGGUAAUUAAUUCACAAUUUGAAGAUGGUGAUUUCCCCCAACAGAUAACUUUCUGAAACUAAUUUAGCCAUGACAUCACUGGUGUGUUAGUGAAAAAUACCAUGUUACAUUCUGCAGUGUAUAGAAAAAUCUUUCCACUGUGAGCUCUUGCAGAAUACCAGAGCUAUGUUCCAUUGCCUUCCAAAUAAAUCUAAACUCAAAAACAAACAACCCAACUCAUCAUUGCGAACAAAACUAAGUAUGCGAGUCCAGUAGCAGAUUUUUAUAAUAGAAAUAAAGGUUUUUGUAUAAUAAUGCUCUUCUAUAACAUAAUGCUGUUGCAGAAAGGUGCACCCUCAACUGUCACAGAUGGUGCAUGCUCUCUUCUAGUGUUACGAUUACAGGUGCUGCUUCUUAAUAUAAGCAGGACUAGUUCAAAUAU